rnacentral:lncRNA from 1 species
GCCCAAUAGUACCAUUAUCAGAAAUGAAAACUUAAAGAUGGUCUUCGAGGCUACUCAACAGGAAGUUGAAAAGCUGAAGAAGGAUGGUCAUUGACCAUCAAGGGUACUUCGUUUUAUCUCACUUGAAUGGGGGUUCUUGGUCGAGGCAUGUGAGGAGCACGGGGCUUCGACAGAUGAGAUCCUCGAGAAUAGUUGGUUGUCCUUAUUUUAUUCAUGCCGGUC